GAAUAAGAAGCAAUUGAUGCAUUUAGUUUCGACCUAAAAAAUUGAUUUUUUAAAAAUCCUUAUUUU
rnacentral:tRNA from 1 species